UUUAAGCUACUAAGUGGUAGAAUAACGUUUAUGCAGCAGUAAAUAACCAGAACGCCAACUAGCUAAUCAGCCCUGGGAGUGUCAGCUCAGCAGAUUAACUGUGGUGGCUGGUUGCUCUGGCAACUGCCUCAGCCAUCACUUUGGCCAAGUCUCCUCCCUCCACAUAUGUGUUCUCAUCUAGAUCAGUUUCGAUUCCCGCUGGUGGAAAGCAGCCUCAGGCAGGGCCACUGCGCAGGAAGGGCGGGCCUGGGUGCAGGCGGGGCUCCGGGAGUCACCCCCAGACGCGCGGCUCCCCUUCCUUGUCCUCCGCAUGACGCCCGUGCCGGAGCCCACGUGAGCCUUUGCCAAGGAGAGAUUCAGAGAUAUGAGCAGAAAAACUGGAAGAUGGACUUCUUCAAUAAGGCAGCGGGACGGUUUGGCUGAUGGAAGAUGUUUCCCGGAAGCCUGUUCACGCUCCACCCUGAAAGUCCCAGGGCCGUGAGAGUCAGCCGGGCCGCCGAGGCGGUGCCCUCCAGGCUGCAGGAUGAUCCAGGGACUGUUUUCCUCAGCACUGUGUGCAGAACAAAGCGAAGAUGAGAUUAAUCAUGCUUCCACCUACCCGGAGACACCUGCACAAUUAAUUCUUCCUUUACUCCCUUUUUUUCCUUCAGAAGUUCACCUUAUCUUAUGUAAAAUGCAGAUCUACUGGGCACUAACUAAAGUCUCACAAGAAUAUAACCAUUCCCUGUCUCACUACUUACCUGCCCCUCAUCCUACAUGCCUUCCCCACCCCUCUUUUUUUUUUUUGAGAUAGAGUUUCGCUCUUGUUGGCCAGGCUGGAGUGCAAUGGCGUGAUCUUGCCUUACCACAACUUCCGCCUCCCAGGUUCAAGCGAUUCUCCUGCCUCAGCCUCCCGAGUAGCUGGGAUUAUAGGCAUGUACCACCACGCCCAUCUAAUUUUGUAUUUUUAGUAGAGAUGGGGUUUCUUCAUGUUGGUCAGGCUGGUCUCCAACUCCCGACCUCAGGUGAUCUGCCUGCCUCGGCCUCCCAAAAUGCUGGGAUUACAGGCUUGAGCCACCGUGCCUGGCCAUGCCUUCCCCUGUUUAAGGAUAUGUAUAAAUACUAAAUCUCCUUAAAACCUCUUCAGAGAAUCCAUGCCACAGACUCUUUCUGUGCCUUGUGUUUUUCCUGGGCACUUCCUCAAGCUUGGACUCAAUAAACUUUGGCUGAUGGAGACUUACCUCAGCCUGUCAUUUUUUUUGUUUAACAAACUGAUAAAC
rnacentral:lncRNA from 1 species